rnacentral:rRNA from 1 species
UGGCGGCAGGCCUAACACAUGCAAGUCGAGCGCAGUCCUUCGGGACCGAGCGGCGGACGGGUUAGUAACGCGUGGGAACAUACCCUUUUCUACGGAAUAGCCUCGGGAAACUGAGAGUAAUACCGUAUAAGCCCUUCGGGGGAAAGAUUUAUCGGGAAAGGAUUGGCCCGCGUUAGAUUAGAUAGUUGGUGGGGUAAUGGCCUACCAAGUCUACGAUCUAUAGCUGGUUUUAGAGGAUGAUCAGCAACACUGGGACUGAGACACGGCCCAGACUCCUACGGGAGGCAGCAGUGGGGAAUCUUAGACAAUGGGCGCAAGCCUGAUCUAGCCAUGCCGCGUGUGUGAUGAAGGUCUUAGGAUCGUAAAGCACUUUCGCCAGGGAUGAUAAUGACAGUACCUGGUAAAGAAACCCCGGCUAACUCCGUGCCAGCAGCCGCGGUAAUACGGAGGGGGUUAGCGUUGUUCGGAAUUACUGGGCGUAAAGCGUACGUAGGC